CUGCAUUAGACUUAUAUACUAUAUACUUAGACUAAUAACUGUGUUACCAUCAUCACAAUGCUCAAAUGUUGCUGUUUUUUUGCCUAAAUUGGCUCUUUUGAUAGUAAAGCUUGCUGACCCCUGUGCUAGGUGAUCAGAACGCACCUAAUGAUUUUUACAGUGUGGUUACAGUAUAAGUUCCUCUUCCCCCACUGAAAUAAUCAUCGCUGUUGUGAUUGGUUGGCACGGUACGGUAACCAUGGCUACACACAGAUAGACAGACAACAUAUUAAUGGCACUCAACCAGAGAUUAAUCAUUUUUAACCCCUUUCUUAAUGAUGAAUAAAUUAAGAAUAUCUUAUUGUCCUAAUCUAAAAUCAUCAAUUUAACAACUUUGCAGCAGUUAUUCAUUCAUCGAUUAAGAUUAGCUAAAGUAUGGAGUUAACAUGAACUAAUUUUACAAUGAUUCAGCUAGUUGCAGGUUUGGGAUUUGUUAUGAUGAAUAAUUAUAAGCCAUUGAUUCAUUCCAUUCAUGAUAAUAUCAUGUAAAGAGCUGGUUUCUCCAGAAGGGGGAGCAGUAAGACUGAUAAUUCACCUCCUCCUGGUUUCACUACUUUGUUCUCAGGUUUCUCUUCUGGUUAAACACCCUGGGUAUAUAGAUAUGAAUAAAAAUGAACAAAAAUAAUACAGCUACAUAAAAUAAAUACUGAAGUUUAUACACACAAGUUUUUGUGUGUUUGCAAAUAUUGAGUUUCUUUUUUAAAACAAAUGUUAAAACAUGCCUUUACUCUGGCAAGAAAACUAUCAUGUGGAAAGUAACUAACAUUUACUAAACUACUGUACUGAACUACAACUUUGAGGUACUUGUACUUUACUUGAGUCUUUCUACUUCUACUCGGACUCUUUAGUUACUUUACAAAUUAAGAUUUUUACACACAAAACAUAUGAAGAGUUUAUAAAAUAUGAUGUUUUGUUAUAAAUUAAACUCUCCAACAGUUUAUACAAGUACAGCUAAAACCAAAUCAGUCGAUUGACAAAAAAAUGUUGUCGAUUGACAAAGUCAUUUUUCAUGUAAAACAUUUCAUGGUUUCCGAUUUGCUGCAUUUCCUUUUAAUAAUGUAAAUAAUUGUAAUGUUGAGGUCUGGACGUGUAACAGAGUAUUUUACAGUGUGGUAUUAGUACUUUUACUUAAGUAAAGGAUCUGGAUACUUCCUCCACCACUGAUAUUUUGUAUGUAGUACUUUACUAUGAUAUAUAUUUUGCUAUGCAGCAGGUUUAAUAGCACAGUAUGUUUAAAGGCGUUUCUGCAGCUACGGUCACUUUUGACCGUAACAAAUAUCAACCUCUAUGAAUUUUAAUUUUAACCAUCAGAGUAUGUAAUACAUAUAAACAGGUACAUAAAAUUACAUCUAGUGGUUAAGAUUUUAAUCUGAAAAUAUGUUUGUUUUUAUGGUUUUUCAUCACUUGUUCUUACUAAAUGUCCUCACCGCAACAAAACAAUAAUGUUUCUUGUUUAAUUUCUAUAAUAUUUUAAGACUUUUAAAUUAAUUUUCCUCAUUUUCAUCAAGCUUUAUGCAUCAUUGUAAAUAUUGAUAAACAAAAAUUUAAAAAAAUGUAGACAGUAACCAUUGAUGUCAGUCUUCAUGCACAAAAAAUAUAAAAUAUGCUGUGUUUUAUGACAGAUAUUGUAAUUCUAAUUCCUAAUGUUUAAAAACAUUUUUGCUAAUAUUGCAGAUAAAUGGCAGCUAGCAGGGUCUGCUAUGUUAGCUUUGACUCUUAGCAUCUAAUAUACAUGAAAUCAACAGUAAUAUUAAGUUAUUUUUUUAAUGUAGUUCAAAACACACAAUCACUAAGGUGUGUGGCAAGGACACACAAUAAAUACUUCAGAAGAAAAGGUGAUCUUCACCUGGUUUUUCUUGAUCUUGAGGGUCACCAUGUGGGCGGCCCAACCUGUCAUCCAUGUGCUCAUUUGUUAACUUCGGUUUCCAUGGAAACUAGAUUUGUUUGGCUUUGAAUAAAACUUUUACUAU